UGUUUGCGCGCAUGAUCACCUGCUUCUCUUCUCUUGUUGCCAUGGGUUACAGAGCCCAUAGCCUGAUGGUGGGGCCAACCACUCAGAGUGGAAAUAACAGUGUCAGCCUCUGAAAACAAGAAAUUAGAAAUAGGGAGCAGGGAAACAAUAGCAAAAGAACAAAAAUCAGCAUCCCAAGGCAACCUGACUGUGUGCAGGGAAGCCAGGCAGCCCAAAGGAGACCAGCUCUUCAUAAAUCCAGCCCUCACCAGACAGGGCAUUUUAGAAAGUGAUGAGGAGGAAAGAAUGAGAGCCAUCUCAACCAGUGUUGUGCCUCCACGUGCCUGGGCCUGAGGUGUGAAUUGACGAGCCACCUUGGAGAAGAAUAAGCAAAGUCUGAGUGAAAAAAAGGAGAAAGGAAGACUCGAACAAUGCAGCUAAUGUUACUGGUGUCUGUCUCAGAUUGGAUGGCCAGAGGGCUGUUGGGAGCCUUCUGACGGAGCAGCUCAGCUUCCGGAAGCCUGUGCUGUGGAAAUGCUUUUGGAGAGGUGCCCUCCUGCCUCUGGCUCUGGACUUGCCUAGGAGGUCCUGGUGCUCACUCUCUGUCCCACUUCAGACACCCUGAACAUGCUGUCACUCAUAGUUGCCUUUAAGUUCUGAAUUCCUUCCUGCCCCUGUUCUGUCCUAUUUUCAGCCUGACUCUGAUGCUGACAUUCCUCUCUGUUGUUCAAACUACUGCAUCCACUCCACCUCACCAUGCCUGGUUCCUAGCUCCUGCUGUGUUCUUCACUGCCUCAGACACAGUUGCCCUGGUUCUCCCAGGCACAGAUCCUGGACCACGGUUCACUGAAUGAAUGCCCUGUUCAGCCCACCCCAGCUCCUCAGCAAGAUUUGGUUUUGAUUUUCCUGGGUGUUUAGCAAACACCCAGGCAUGGACCCACCUACCCCUGACUUCUGCCCCAGACUCCUGACGGAGAGUCCUCCUGAGCUGUCUCCACCUUCUCCAGGGCUCUGAAACGUCCUGAGGGGCUUACAGACUGCAAGAAGAUUCAGGAAAAGGGACAGGGGCAAUGUUGCUCCCAUCCCCCAUAUCUUCCUUUCCAGUCUGUCGCCUUCUCUUCCAGUUACAGUCCUGUCUUGUCUUGCACAGCAGAGUUGGCUUGGGGUAUGGCAGUGCAGGAGGUGACGCUGUCCUUCCAACAAAAACUAACUCUAUUUCUCAUGCCCCGUAGCCUCCCCCUUCUGAGCCCUCUCCUUUCUCCCUCAUCUUGCCACCACUGGGGACUUUUUCCCCAGAACAACUGCACUUAUCUAAUAUCAGUCAUUUUAUACAUAAGUACAAUUUCAAAAUCAGUUUUUACCUCUCUGGAGUCAUUUUCUUUUUUUAAUAUUAGGGAAUUAGGGAAUGGAAUGAUUGGCCUCAGGAUGUAGGUUAGAGAGAUAUACUGUCUGCAUGCUGGAAAUCACAAGACUGCCUUCGCAGAAUACUGGUUCUCCCUGCCACAUUAAGUAGGAAUGCAAAUGAGGGAGACUCAAGUUAUUCUGUGCCUCUGGCUUGACUGCCAGGCGGUGAAGUGGGGGUAAGCAGAGCUCAUAUUUCAAAAAAGUUCUACCUGGAGCUAACCAUUUGGUACUUCAGUUAUGCCUCUUACCAGCUAGAUUUUCAUUUCAUUUUUUAAUGUUUUUAUUUCUUAUAUUGCAAAAUGACAUUAUUGUUUGACUUUACAAUAUGAGAAAGAAGACAAGAAAGUGACCCAGGGCUCUAAUGAUACUUUGUCCCUUUUAACAUUGAUGCUCUGUCAUCAUUCAGACCUGGGAACCCAACCCCUACUGAAAUUAAGGAGAGAUGCUAGUAGGUGUAGCAGUGGGUACCAGGGCCCUCUGCCUGGCAAGAUAGAGAGCUGUGACGGGAAAAGUGACUGAAAGAAAGCCACCAGUCAAGUAAGAGAAAGGCACUGCUGGCUAGGGAAUACUCAGUUUUCUCAAAGUUGUAAAAAAUCUUUUGUUAACUAAGUUAUAAACCUCUUUGGACCACUUGGUCUGUGGCAUUCACCAGAGCUGCCCACAAAAGAUGCUCAUGGGAGGUCACAGGAGCAGUCUCUCUUAAUUGGCUGAUGCAUACACACUCGGUGGUAGGAAGAAGGACUCAGGUGUAGCACCAUCUACACCUGAGUCCAGUUCUAGGCACUCCUUUCUCAGCAGGAAACUUUCUUGGCAUGGAAACAGAGUUGCAUAUUAGGGAACUGGGAUCCAUCAGCCAUCCUUGCAUUUCUCAUACACAUCAUCACCCCUUCCCAGCAGAACCUCCUUGGACUUCUCCACAUAAAACUGCAUCCUCUCUCUCUCUCUCUCUCUCUCUCUCUCUCUCUCUCUCUCUCUCACACACACACACACACACACACACACACACACACACACCCUUAUAAUGAAUUAACUAAUGAACUAAACUUCUAUUUCACUGUUUAUUCCUGUCUCCUCUACUUACCACACAGAAUAUAAAGCCAUGAAAGUAGGGGUUUUAAAUAUGUUUUGUUUCUUGCUAUUUCCCCAAUGCCUAGCACAGUGCCUGGCACACAGGACAUGCUCAAUUAAAAUAUGGUGAUUGAUGAAAUGAAUCCAUUAAAAUUGUUAACCCUCUGGAAAUGUAUA